AAAUUGAAGAGUUUGAUCAUGGCUCAGAUUGAACGCUGGCGGCAGGCCUAACACAUGCAAGUCGAACGGUAACAGGAAGAAGCUUGCUUCUUUGCUGACGAGUGGCGGACGGGUGAGUAAUGUCUGGGAAACUGCCUGAUGGAGGGGGAUAACUACUGGAAACGGUAGCUAAUAC
rnacentral:rRNA from 1 species